UACGUAGGCAGCAAGCGUUGUUCGGAGUUACUGGGCGUAAAGAGUGCGUAGGCGGUCCUGUAAGUUUGGUGUGAAAUCUCCCGGCUCAACUGGGAGGGUGCGCCGAAGACUGCAGGGCUUGAGUAUGGGAGAGGUAAGCGGAAUUCCUGGUGUAGCGGUGAAAUGCGUAGAUAUCAGGAGGAACACCAAUAGCGAAGGCAGCUCGCUGGGACGGUACUGACGCUAAGGCGCGAAAGCGUGGGGAGCGAACAGG
rnacentral:rRNA from 1 species